rnacentral:rRNA from 1 species
AUUGAACGCUGGCGGCAUGCUUUACACAUGCAAGUCGAACGGUAACAGGCCGCCAGGUGCUGACGAGUGGCGAACGGGUGAGUAAUGCAUCGGAACGUGCCCAGUCGUGGGGGAUAACUACUCGAAAGAGUAGCUAAUACCGCAUACGAUCUAUGGAUGAAAGCGGGGGACUGUAAGGCCUCGCGCGAUUGGAGCGGCCGAUGUCAGAUUAGGUAGUUGGUGGGGUAAAGGCUCACCAAGCCAACGAUCUGUAGCUGGUCUGAGAGGACAACCAGCCACACUGGGACUGAGACACGGCCCAGACUCCUACGGGAGGCAGCAGUGGGGAAUUUUGGACAAUGGGCGCAAGCCUGAUCCAGCAAUGCCGCGUGCAGGAAGAAGGCCUUCGGGUUGUAAACUGCUUUUGUACGGAACGAAACGGCUCUGGUUAAUACCCGGGGCUAAUGACGGUACCGUAAGAAUAAGCACCGGCUAACUACGUG